UAGGGAAUCUUCGGCAAUGGACGAAAGUCUGACCGAGCAACGCCGCGUGAGUGAAGAAGGUUUUCGGAUCGUAAAACUCUGUUGUUAGAGAAGAACAAGGACGUUAGUAACUGAACGUCCCCUGACGGUAUCUAACCAGAAAGCCACGGCUAACUACGUGCCAGCAGCCGCGGUAAUACGUAGGUGGCAAGCGUUGUCCGGAUUUAUUGGGCGUAAAGCGAGCGCAGGCGGUUUCUUAAGUCUGAUGUGAAAGCCCCCGGCUCAACCGGGGAGGGUCAUUGGAAACUGGGAGACUUGAGUGCAGAAGAGGGGAGUGGAAUUCCCUGUGUAGCGGUGAAAUGCGUAGAUAUAUGGAGGAACACCAGUGGCGAAGGCGGCUCUCUGGUCUGUAACUGACGCUGAGGCUCGAAAGCGUGGGGAGCAAACAGG
rnacentral:rRNA from 1 species